UCCUCCUCGCCAUCGUUCUUCAUUCCUUCUCUCCUCCUAGUUGUUCUUCUUCAUUCUUUCUCUUCUCCUCGCUGUCAUUCAUCUGUUCCUUUUCCACUCUCGUCUAUAUGCCACAGUAAAGGAGAAAUAUUGCAGCUUAUUUCCUUCUUUGUUUUGAGGCUAUCGUUGCUGGGUGGAAUUCUUCUCUUCUUCGGUGGUCCAUGAGCUGAAAUGUGACAGCUUCUACUGCACUUUAGUAGAGAUUCAUCAUGCCUAUUAAGAAAAGAAGACGUCAGAAGCAAGGAGGGUCUUGUGGUACAAAUUUAGAUGAGCAAAGCAAGUAUAAAUGUUACAAACACAUUGUUUAUAUAUUUUGAUAAAAAAGAGAGAUUAAGUAUUGAAGAUUUAUAACAUGUAAAGCUGACUAUUAUAUUGUUUUCUCUUUUUAGGAUAUAACUUUGCA